GUGGUUUUCUUAAUCAGUUAAUUGGUUGCAUCUGGUGCGUUUCACUUAAAAGGACGUGUGUGUACUGUUCUAUUUCAUUCCUAGGUCUGUUGUGACUUAUUUGACAUCUCUUCCUGUUUCACAGGUUAAAGACUUUUUGAAGUAAAGAGGAGCAUCUCAUCUGAACCUGAUGUCUAUCAUGGAUUUUUAACUACAGUUCUGUGAGUAUCCCAACUUAACCAUGAAGAUGAACUGCAAACUGUAAGUCAUUCAUUUCUAAUUACUCUUGGGCACAUUGAUGUAUUUUGGCUUCCUGGUGAGUUAACCCGUUACCUGAAGGUUGAUCUGAGUAGGAAGGAUGUUUUAUUGGUUCAUGGGUUACUUAGGUGUUUGGUUUAUGUUGGUUUUAAUGAUUUGUUAAAAUGUCUUUUUUCCAGCUACUCUCCUGAGCUCUGCCUCUUCAGCGUUGCUUUACUAAUGAGGGUGUGGUCUGAGUGUACAGAGGUGCAUACUGGGAUACAGAGCUGUCUGAAGUCUACAGGUCUGUAGACACGCCCCCCUCAGGGGAAACCUAGUGUUUGAGAAACCGUCCUGACGUCAGUUACAUGGACUAGAAUGUUCUUUAAGAUGGAGACAGGGAUUCAGAAGGAGAAACCCCAGUGGGAGAUGAGGGGGCUCCUCAUCUCAACGACUAAAACACAACUUCAGUCUGACACAGAGAAUCAUGGAACACAUUCAACAAUCCCCUCCAGGCAUCGUGACUCCUCAGGAACAGUUUCAUUUCCAAGAAGGUCUUAUUUGGGGCCAUCCCCAGAUGGAUCCUGCUCCUCAAGAGCCACCCCCCCCCUCCACUGGGUGGUCUUCUGAACAGAUGACCUCCUUCCUGUCCUCAGGCUGACUAAAGCUGCACCGUUUGCAUCUGUGAAGGCCCCUCAAUCAGGAAACCACUGGACUACAAAGACAUGACUUCAGAGACGUUGAAUCAACCUUGGACACAUUUUGGAGACGCCAAGCAUAAUCCAUCACCAAUGUGGGACGCCACUGAAGAAUGUUGUACAUAAUUCACGUCUCUGGAGACAUUGGUUGUUCUGUUCUGGGUGCCCUGGCAAGAGAGCUAUGGGUGGAUGAUGGAAUGUUAUUUGGCAUGAGGUUUUUACCCUGCAUGAUUGUUUGGCCUUUUAUGGCUCAGUGGUGUGUGUGUUCCAUUGGUUUGACAUGAGAUGGAUGAUUUUUAAACAUCGCUAUGGUUCUACUGUGUGUGUGUGUGUCUCCCAUCACACCUGGCAUGGGGUUCUACGUGCGUGUCCUGGGUUCUGUGUGUAUCCGGCUUGCUUUGACAGUGAUAAUGUUCAUACGGGGUCUGUGUGAUUGGCUUGGGAUAUUGGAAUGGUCAAAUAAAUCAUACCUGAUGGUCGGCCGGCUAUACGUUUACUUAAGGGUCUCCUGAGCGACGCUCCGGAGCGAUAUCAACACACUGGGCAGGAAGGAGAGUAUCCAACUCAAGUGUAAAAGGAUGCAAGCGGCGUGUUCAGAUCAGUGACUUCAAACUAGGACUACACCAAUCAGGAUCAAUGGAGGAUGGACACCUAAAGGCAUUCCACAAGGACUCUGAAGUUGGAAAGGGACCUCAAUGGAUGUUCAAGAUGACCUGUAAUGAGACGGCUCUUCCUACCUGGCUGGAUUGAUGGAGAGCCCUGCGGAUCUUGUCUUGCUCUCAGUUGCACGUCUGCUCAGGCUGAACUGUAUUUGUUUCGGACAGGACUAGCUGAACUAUUGUUUCCCUCAAAUCAGAACCAAUCUGGGAACUCAACAACUAGUGCGCGCUUCGAGCUGAAGUUGUGCUCUUCAGCUGAGGAGGUAAGGGAACCUUCACUGGGGCUUCAAGGUGUAAAGAGGAGAAUGUUUCAAAGUGUUCCAUGGUACUCUGAUGAGGACCGUUGUGUUCCACUGGCUGAGAGGAAGAACCCUCACAUCUUCCUCUUGGCCUUUCUCCUCUGAGAAUCCUGGCGCCAUCUUGAAGGAUAUUCCAGCUCAUGCAACUGAUGUCAUGACAGAUUCUCAAACACUUGGUUUCUCCUGAGGGCCGUGUCUACAGAACUGAAGACUUGAGACGGCACUGUAUCCCAGCAUGCAUCUCUGCUCACUCAGACCACACCCCCAUGAGUAGGAUGCAACAUUCUAGUGAUGGAGAUGUAGAGUUUUAUAAGUAAUGAGGGAGCAGACAAAGGUGAUUAGAGGCAUGUCAAGUCUGUAAAUCUUUAAAUCAUGAAGAUGGUUGGAUAGUUCAGGAAUUGGGCUUCUAUUUAUUAUGAGCAGUCCUUUCGCUCAGAUGGCCACCUCUCACUGGACCUGUACAUGUGUUGGCUGGCAUGAUUUGCUGUUGGUGAUGAGGCGGUCAAGGUGACGUUGCAGGGCUAUGGUCGGCUCUCUGUGAGCUCAACGUUUAGAUUUGCUCUGUAUGGUUUGUACCCUGAAUAAUCUAGAUAAUUGUAAAAUGUAGACACGGUUUUGUAUUGAAUGAUUCCAUUGUUCUUAGGCAAGGAUUUGAGGUUUAAAGUUGUUGUGGGACGUACAUGGUAGUUAGCUUUGUACAGUUUUGAGUGAUAUAACAUGUACACACUGGGUGCAUAAUAAUGUAAUGUUACACUGAAUAGUAGUACCAACAGCAACAAACAGAUCUCCUCAAGGUAAGUCUGUUGGCUGUGUUUUAAUGAAGACCAUCGCUGGACUUCAGGAUCUUCCUCCGUCCAGCUCAAGGUGAGGCGCUGGUUCUGUUUUUUCUUUGGUUGGUUCCGGCAGGAAUGUUCGGAUUCCUGUCGGACGGUUUGUGCUUCCCGCCGGGAAGUUUCUGAGUGCGGUCACUUGAUUUAGUCCCAAUGGUUAGCAUCGAACGUUGUAGUCUUGACAACCAAAACCAGAAACCACCUGGCAGUUAGUUGGACGGGAGUCCCCUGAGGGAAUCUGGCGGAACGUUCUGGAUUGUAUUUGCGUAACCACGAGCCGUUGCCAACGAAAAAAAAUUUUUCAGUCGGUUUCCAUUGGGAAUUGUGCCACCUUAUCUUAAACAACUUAAGUUUGAUAUUAAAUACAUACUGACACGUACGUUGUACAAUGUGUUAAUUUUCGAUGGUUGCGCCGUACUUUCAACCACGUUGACGGGACUCUCGCUGCGUACGAAACGGCCUUCUACUUGCGGGUCCAUUUUUGACAUCAGUGAAGGCUGAAAAUCUUUUCAAGGCGGAAGACAAUUUGACAUUUCUUGAACGGAACCCAGCACCUGAAUAUGGCUGAGUAUAUUUGAUUUAAUAUCGAUACUGCUUAGUGUUCUUUGUUACUUCAGCUUUUGUACGUUCUAAAUAUCUGCUGUCAUUAAUUGCAACAGAAGUUAAACCCUACCCAAUGGAAUGACGCUAAACAACGACUUUGGGGCAGAGUUACCAACUGGAUAAUCUCAAAGCUAAAAUAAUGGCCGUGCUUUCCACAUGUUACAGUAGAAGAUACUCUAGAAUUGUACAAGGUUAAAAAAGGUAACAUGUAGUUUGUCCCAAGGUGUCUGCCUCCUCACCCAGAGCAGGACCUCCACCUCCUCACCCGGAGCAGGACCUCCACCUCCUCACCCGGAGCCGGGAGCCGGAGCCAGACCUCCACCUCCUGUCAGAAGUCCUCCAGAAUGCAGCACUGGACCAGAGGACCAAGAAUCCAUAUCUGGAAGAGCCGUGCUGAAGGCCCUGCCUGGUGGAGGAGCUGAUGGAGGCCCUGCCAGACCAGGACUCUGUCUGAGCAGAGCUGCUGGAGGAGCUGAGACGCUGGAGGACGACUAGGAAUCGACCAACAAGGAUUCCUAAACGUGUGUCUGAAGCGGAGGCGAGCUGGUAGGGGAGCCGUGAAUCUGGAGGAUGACCAUCACUCUACCAACAAGGAUUGCCUUAGGGCCAGACUGGUGCUGUUUGUUCCAGACCAGGACUCUGGCUGAGGAGAGCUGAUGGAGGAGCCAAGACUCUGGAGGACGACAUCACUCUACCAACCAGGAUCCUCGAAUCUGGAGGACUGAUGGAGAAGCCGUACAUCUGGAAGGCAAACACACCUGAGCUGAACCUCAACUGUUUGGUCGGGGGCAGACAAACCUGAGCUGAACCUGACAUCCUGCUGGUCCCGUCUCCUCAGUUCAUCUUCGCCUCGUCCUCCAGAAGACCUGCUGAGCUCAGCAGUCUGAGGCUGAUGGAUCAAUGACCUCCAGUGGGAGUGAUCUUCUUGACCACACAUGUAACCGUGUGCUUCCACACGCCUUUCCUUCACGUCUGUCACUAACCUCACUACUUCACUACUCUCUACUGCUUCCUCUUCUUCUUCCUUCUCUGUGGUUCGAACCUUUACACUGAAGGCGCGUCUUCCUGCCCUCAGAGGGUUCAGCGUUAGGGUUGAGAGUCAGGGUUUAGAGUCAGGGACAGAGCUGGUCAGGGGAGGACUGCUUUUACACAAACCUCUGCACUUGCUUUCGGAAUGGUGAUGACAUUUUGAAAAGAUUCUUUUGGGAAAAUGUUUCCUAUUCCAUUUACAAUUGUAUUCAACUUCUGUCAAGUGCUUUCGUUUGCAUAUUAAAAUCCCACAUUGACUUCUAUAUAUUUGGUGCGGUUCAUUUAUUUGUCCUUUUAACUUGGUUAAUGUCAAGCUAAACUCCUGCAAUACAU
ensembl:lncRNA